CCUACGGGAGGCAGCAGUAGGGAAUUUUCGGCAAUGGGCGAAAGCCUGACCGAGCAACGCCGCGUGAGUGAUGAAGGCCUUCGGGUUGUAAAGCUCUGUUGUUAGGGAAGAAUGAUCAGGAUAGGAAAUGAUCUUGAAGUGACGGUACCUAACCAGAAAGCCACGGUUAACUACGUGCCAGCAGCCGCGGUAAUACGUAGGUGGCAAGCGUUAUCCGGAAUUAUUGGGCGUAAAGGGUGCGUAGGCGGUUUACUAAGUCUUAUGUGAAAUCUCAGAGCUUAACUCUGGGCUGCAUAAGAAACUAUUAGACUAGAGUGCAGGAGAGGGCAACGGAAUUCCAUGUGUAGCGGUAAAAUGCGUAGAUAUAUGGAGGAACACCGGUGGCGAAGGCGGUUGCCUGGCCUGUUACUGACGCUGAAGCACGAAAGCGUGGGGAGCAAAUAGGAUUAGAUACCCUAGUAGUCCACGCUGUAAACGAUGAAUACUAAGUGUUGGGAUAAAACUCAGUGCUGCAGUUAACGCAAUAAGUAUUCCGCCUGGGGAGUACGCACGCAAGUGUGAAACUCAAAGGAAUUGACGGGACCCCGCACAAGCGGUGGAUUAUGUUGUUUAAUUCGACGCAACGCGAAGAACCUUACCAGGCCUUGACAUACCCAGCAAAGCACUAGAGAUAGUGUGGAGGUUAUCUGGGAUACAGGUGGUGCAUGGUUGUCGUCAGCUCGUGUCGUGAGAUGUUGGGUUAAGUCCCGCAACGAGCGCAACCCUUGUCUUUAGUUACCAUCAUUCAGUUGGGGACUCUAGAGAGACUGCCGGUGAUAAACCGGAGGAAGGUGGGGAUGACGUCAAAUCAUCAUGCCCCUUAUGGCCUGGGCUACAAACGUAAUACAAUGGCGUAUACAAAGGGAUGCGAAGUGGUGACAUGGAGCUAAACUCACAAAGUACGUCUCAGUUCGGAUUGAAGUCUGCAACUCGACUUCAUGAAGCUGGAAUCGCUAGUAAUCGCGGAUCAGCAUGCCGCGGUGAAUACGUUCUCGGGCCUUGUACACACCGCC
rnacentral:rRNA from 1 species